CAGUCGCCGCGGGAAUACGUAGGGUGCGAGCGUUAAUCGGAAUUACUGGGCGUAAAGCGUGCGCAGGCGGUUCGUUAAGACAGAUGUGAAAUCCCCGGGCCUAACCUGGGAACUGCAUUUGUGACUGGCGAGCUAGAGUAUGGCAGAGGGGGGUAGAAUUCCACGUGUAGCAGUGAAAUGCGUAGAGAUGUGGAGGAAUACCGAUGGCGAAGGCAGCCCCCUGGGCCAAUACUGACGCUCAUGCACGAAAGCAUGGGGAGCAAACAGGAUUAGAUACCCGAGUAGUCCCUGUCUCUUAUAA
rnacentral:rRNA from 1 species